UACGAAGGGGGCUAGCGUUGCUCGGAUUGACUGGGCGUAAAGGGCGCGUAGGCGGUUCGUACAGUCAGACGUGAAAUUCCUGGGCUCAACCUGGGGGCUGCGUUUGAUACGUGCGGACUUGAGUGCGGAAGAGGGUCGUGGAAUUCCCAGUGUAGAGGUGAAAUUCGUAGAUAUUGGGAAGAACACCCGUGGCUAAGGCGGCUCUCUAGUACGGUACUGACGCUGAGACGCGAAAGCGUGGGGAGCGAACAGG
rnacentral:rRNA from 1 species